ensembl:lncRNA
CUCUCUGCUCCGUGCUGCCGUUUGUAAGAAAGUGCCACUAAAUAAUCAGUUCUGCUUAUUCAGCAAGAGUUCUCAUCGGCAGCAAUUCAUGAGCUGCUUUAGAGCGGGUCAGUGCUGCUUUACCAGUGCCGGUGGUGCAGAACUUUGAGCCGAGGUCUGCUGGUGUCACUGCAGCUUUGUUUUGUGCUGCAUUGCCCGUCUCCAUUCCCUUCUGCAAUAGGAGAGCUUGAGUACCUGAGGGGACCGCUCUGCAGUGCCACGAGGUGCAGAGCUGCGGGUCAGACGUUGGGCCUCCUUGUCCCGCCCUGCCGGCGAUGUGUGCUCUGCAGUGUGAACUUUCACUCAGAAACCAGCACUAGGAGUAAGAAGUGGGCGUUUACAUCAUUGUUCUUAAGGCAUCUAUCAGUGUCUACAGCAAGAUCCCAUCUGAUAAAGGAGUUUAUUCCAUGAACAGAAAGGGAGACAAUAGCCUGAUCUUCCCCCUCUUCGUGUACCAGCAAGACUUCAGGAUGGCAGUCUUUGAUGAGAUUCUGAAACAUCAAAUCAGGAAAUGAUGGGAAUAAGCUGAUUUCUUCCUGAGCUAACACUGAGAGCAGCAUUGCAUGUCUGAUGGAGAACAGCAAACAAGUGAGAGAGCUUGUUUUCUGGAGAACGUUCACUUCACCGUCCUGAGCAUGAGUGGCUUCUACUGGCAGUGCUGCUGAAGAGCUGCGCAUCAGUAAUUCUUUGACAUGCAGAAUUACAGCUUUCCAGCGCCAGCUCAAACACCGAGGAAUCCCUGCCACCAUAAAGCUAUAAUUGCUGAAUUAAUAACAGCGGGUUCUGGAGAGUGACUGCACAGACUCUCUGACCCAGGUAAUAGAAACACUCAUGUUAAAGUGAAGUUGAUACAUUUGACUUAAUCUAUGCAAUAUCAGUCUCCAGUAGUAAAGAUCACUGCUUUUCCAUCCCGUAAGAAAGCUGUGGUGAGGUGGUACCCUUCUGCUUUAGCUUGAGCUACCUGCAUCUGUUAGCCCCCGUGAACUAGAAAUUACAUUUUCAGGGAUCAGUCAGAUUGCAUUUCUUUCUACCAGGGGAUUUGUUACCCCAGUCUGUCUGCCUAGAACUGCUGGGAGGUGAGUUCCCAUCCAGCUGCAGAGGGGUGGGGAACAGGAUGUCGAGGGAGAUGGUGAAAGGCUUCUGCUAACACCUCAUUGCUCCAGAAUGUAUUAACAACUAAAAAAAUACAAUCCCUCCCCCUCUCUUCUAACUCAGGAAGAAAUUCUGCAGUUGGUGCUUUGCCAAAUUCUGUGCCUCGUGGCCCCCACAGAUAUGAUGCUCCUCAAAACUGGGAUAAAAGGAUGCUGUUUAAACAGGAUAAUAGGAAUUUAACCAAAAUGACUUGAUCUGAAUGAGGAGCCAUUUUUCUUUAUUUUUAUAGUUUAUUUUUAAAUAAGAAUGUCCCUAGGUAUUAGAAGGGCCUGGUAAUCCAUUUACCAUGACUUCCUUAGGUUUGGUCCUUGAAUGGACCAUAUGCUACUCUACGUUUAUCUGAGUAGGAUUUGUGAUUCUUGGUAACCUUUGUAGGCUGACUCAAGUCAUUAGGGACAAAUUGCCCAUGUCAACGGAUCUGAUUGUAUCAUGGAAUUGAUGUAGUGCACAGCUACUCAUGUUGCAAAGUGCAGCUGCAGCAAAAGCCAAAGCGUGUGACCACUGAGAUGUUGGACUUCUCUAAGCUCAGGGCAAUGUCCUGUGCUGGGGCUCUUAGCAGCAGCCUCCCCAAGGUUGUGUAUACAUUGUGGAUAAAAAGAAUUGGCAGUUUUCAGGGCUGGCAAUCUGGUUCUUUUUCUAAGAGUUAUCAUCAUUAAUUAAAAUCUCUCUCUUUUUUUUUUUUGUCUGUCUAAGUAUUUCAGCUCUAAUUCUCUUGCAGGUUCAUAAAUAGUAACAUCCCUUUGUCCUGGGAAAAGUUCUUAUCUUUUGUUUCUCUUUGUCAUUCCCCUCAAUCUCUGUCCUCUUGAGGCUGAAGGUAAGUAAAAUUCCUGCUAUGAUGUUGUGGUUGUGGGCCUGUUCCUUUGUUCCUUCGGUCACCCCGUCACCCCAUCCCUGCUUUGGUAUCCACAGUCCUACCUGGAACAGCAUAACGAUGACCCACAUGGUUCUGUUUCACUUGGCCUGUGCUCUUCCCCUCUGUGCAUAGUUUCCCUUUGGACUUCCUUAGCAGAUCCUCUGCAGCAAGCAGGUGUUUCUCCACUUUUCCAGUCUGUGAACUUGAAGUUAAAUUCAAAAAUAAUUCAUCAUUUUAUAAAUAAGUUAUAUAAGCUGUCACCACAAAUCUGUCACUGCACAGACAGGUGCCAACAUGCACCGUAUGCAAGACGGUAACAACACCAGGAUUGGAAUAAAGGAUGUCUAAAAGCAAUUACAUUUCCAGAUAUUAGGCAAACACAAUUAUUUAAACUGCUAGUCAAAACCAGUUGAUAAAAUAGAUAAUUAAAAAAGAUUGACCCAAAAGCUGAUGUUAAAUUAUUCUGUAAUGUGCACAUAACUCAAAUAAUUGCUCUCUCAUAACCCAGCCUCUAUUAAAGGGAAAUUUUACCUAGGAAAAAAAUUACAUAUUCAGUACACGGUGAUUAAAAUAAAUAUACAUUCUCUCAAAUGCUGGAGAUGAUGUGAGAAACUGUAUUAAAAAGUGGGAAUGCAUUCGGCCUGCAUUGCAAACAGUAGUGUGGUCUGUCAUUGUAAUAAAUCAUACUCAAUAGGCAUUGAAACAGAAAGUAUGACACUGCAGUAAAUCCAAAUCAGCCUCAGACCACAGUAGUGGUAGGUGACCUAUUGUGUGUGGGUAUAGAACUAAGCGGGACAGGAUGGAGUCCUGAGGAAGGAGCUAUUUUAGUAGUUCAAUUUAGACAUUAAAGUCUUGGGAUAGGACAUCAAAACCCCUAAUCUGGAGUUUGAAUCCAAUAUUUAAUACAGUUUACACCCACUUCAUCUAUGCAUGAGUUUCCACCUAAAACAAUAUCCAAGCUCCUUUUGACACCUAAUGAAGGGACAAAUCAGUUGUUCUUCAGACCUCAUUUUUUGUGCUGCUUACCUGGUGGUGAUGCAGGACUGACUUCAGUACUCGCACUGUCAAAAGCGGGAUCAGCCCAAUGUGCUUUAGCUGGGGGGGACACACAGGGAUGCUCUCCUUAGUGCAUCUGUCUGUAUGAAGCUGUCCUGUGCUCUCAUCUUUGAAACAGCAGACUUGAGAAACAUGAAGACUUCAUCUAUGAGCGCACAGCAUUACUCCAUAAAUGGUAUGGGAACUGAUUAACCCAUCAAUCUCUAUUAUUCAACUACUGCAAAUGAGACACGUGCUCCCUUGGGGAUUUACCUGGAGUAAAAUCAAGAAGAAAAUGCUUUCUCCCUUCCCAGCUUGAAAGUUCAAAAUUUGUUUGGACCGGUGAUGCUGCAAAUAAAUAAAAGAAAGAAUGACCUGAAUUACUUGAGCAAUCCCCUGGGACUGAGGCAGGAAGCGUUUGAAACAUGAAAAGUUGCACCCGUGUUCAAACGAGAGAGGCCCUAGUUAAUUAUUUACAGCAGCUGAAAGCUCAUCAAAAAUUUAACCAAGAUUUAUUUCUCUGUGACUCUGCAGGCACCACAAUAUGCAGCAGUGGAGGCUUCAGCUGCCUUCAGUGAAGCUCCUGAGUUUUCACCUCCCGGCUUGUCGGUGCUGGCUCAGUGCUUGCAGUGAAUCCUUUCCUCCUAUCUGUCAGCGAUGCACACUAGUAGGGUGGAUUCCAAUUGCAUGCAAAUAAAUAGCAUGCAGCAUCUGAACUGCUGCUGGGAGGCUCUGUGGUGGCCCUCAACAGCCUUCAGCUGUGGCAAGGCUGUGACCCGUCACUGUCAGUAGAUGAUAUCAAAUACAAACCUACCUGCGGCUUAGCUCUGCUCCUCUCCCAUCUACAGGUAAUGGGCCCUUCCAUUUUGUGCACGCUGACUGAGUGAAGGCUGGGCCGUUGCCCCUUUGCUUUGAAGUCCACUGCAUUUGUGAUUUUUCUUUGAUCAUCGCUGUGGAAAAGCCUGAUAUGUUUUUCUCAGCAGUUCGUAUGCACACAAGCAUGAGAGCUGAGAACCUCAGUCAAGGUGAAACUUCUGAACUUAUCUUGAUUUUGUUAACAUUAAAUUAAUAUUAAAUAGGACCAAGUUAUGUUUUGCCUUGAGACUGAGGAGGGAACAAUACUGUUCUACUACUAUCCAUGUAUUCGAUACAUCAAAUGAUAGCAAAAGAGCUUCACCAGUGAGAGGAACAGGACCUAUAAACGACAGUUAGUACCUUAGGAUUCCUGAAGCUUGAGCUUCUUGCAGAGGUUUCCAUGAUGGCACUUCAUGACCAGUAUCUCAUAAGGUCCCUGAAAAAGAAAAGAAAGAAAUCAGGUAUUUUCUCACCAUCUCGCUAGAGGUAUCUAGAGAAAGGAACUGUACAAGGCUUUCAUUAGCAGCUGAAGUAUUACUGUAUAUUUGGAUCCAUUUGCUCAGUUCGUGAUAUAAUGGAGCACAACUGAUGUAAGUUGGCUUGAUGCGACCCCUUGUUACACAUACUGGAACAAUAUCUGCAGAAGCAUUUGAAAUUACACAUUUUUUCAGACAUCUAUUUUAAGGAUCAGUGACUUCAAACAAGCGGUGCAUUUGGGCAUAUUUUAAAGGCUUAUUUCCUGCAAUCAUGUGCAGGUCAUGGCUUAAUCCUCAUCAGAAAGAAGGCAUUUGGGAUUCUGAUUACUGCAGGGAGCAGUGAAAGAAGGAUACGCAUAGAAAGAACAGCAGCAGAGUUUUGAGACAGAGCCCGGGCUCUGACCAGUAAACCUUUGAUGAAAACUUCUGAGGGAGGUGUUUUUUUUUCCUUUAUAUUUUCUUUAACAUUUGAACGCAGCAACAGAAGAGGUGGGACAAAACGGAGUCUCUGAAGCGUUGGUUAGGUGAUGUUCUGGCACUGCAGUGAUGUGGGCACAGACCUGGAAAGAGCCAGCUGUCCUGGCAGGGAGCAGGCAGCCAACAGGAGGAGCAGCCGAAUCUAUUUCUUACUGUCACAGUACUUUGAAAAGUACUUUUCACACCGCUUUUAGAAACUAAAGUUUGUAAUGGCCAGGCAAGACUCUGAGUUAUUAGAAGAGAGAAGGAGCAGGGCAGCUUUGCUUGGCCAGAUGCAUAGCUGCUCUCAAGUGAGGGCUGGAGAAAGGCAGAGGGAAGUGUGACAGCUUUCCACAACAGAUAAGAGCUGGAUUCCAGCCCACUUCAAGCUAGGUAAGCAAAUAAUUACCCGUGAAUAAAUUAGGAAGAAAAAUGCUAAAUAUCCUUAUUAAUAGAGACCAUAUGCUUUUGGCAACUUCUUACCAGAAGGCUCUUAAAAGUAUGCAGUGACAUCCUAGAGUUCCCAGUCACGUUUCCUACACGCUGCUGACACACUCGCCUCAGAGAGGACAGAAUACUGAUUUAGUGUGUAUUUUAAAACCCUACAGCCUUACCAUCUGUGACUGCACGGGCAGAGCCUGUUUCUUCACCUCAAGCAUCCAAAAAUCAGACUGUAACUGUCUUCCCCUCCCACAGGUUUGUCUGAUGUCCCGAGCGCUGCCCGGGUGUUCCAGCGGCACCAACAGAGGCUGACUGAUGGGCUCCAGUUCAGACAUACGAAGGGUGGCAAGCAGAGGCAGCGUUCUGAGGUCCAUUUAAUUAAUCUGCAGACCGCAAGUCCCUCAGAACUGGAUGUCCUCAUCCCCAGGGCUGUCAGCCACACCGUGUCCUGUCCCUGCCGGCUGCACAGCAACAGUGGCGACACGGCUGCAUUGCUGGGGAGAUGGAAGCCCAACGUGUGUCAUCUCUGAGGCUGCUCGAGUUCCUCUUCAGCGCUUUGCAGGGGAAGACCAGAGAAAUAAUAAGGCUUUGUAUGAGUGAUAAGACUGUAUCGUGAUGGCUGUUCGCUUCCUAACAGAUGGGACAGAGAUGCAGGUAGGGUGGAGGGGCCACAAAGGCAACUGAUGGAGAAGUUUCUUUGGAGUCUGCUGUUCUUUUUUGCUUCAUUUAUAUUUCAUUAGGCAUGAAAUUACGUUUAUAAUUGUAUUAGACAACUGUGUGAGAUAUUAGAUCAUAAGCCUAGACUGAAUUAAAGCCAUUUUUAAUUAGUUAUUGAUUUAUUCUGUUUCGUCAUUUUUAAUGAAAUGAUGCCCCUGAAUUCAAAGCGCUGGUGCAGGUGUGUUAUCUUAAUUCAUAGAACUAGCACUCUGCUUACCUCCCAACCAACCAAGAGAAUGGAAGUGGCUGUUCUUCAGCACAGUUGUUGUAUCAGCCACUGAUGUGGGUCUGCACAAGGGGGGUGAAGGAAAGAGACACCGCACUCCAGAACAGACAAGAGGAGGGAGCCCUGGGCUGCAGGCACACUGCUGGGAGGAGACAGGGCUGAGCAAAACCCAGGGUAAGCUUUCAAAAAGAAAAAAAAAAAGAAAAAGAACAAGAAAGGGAAAGCAGGGGACAAUAUGCAGCUGUGGGAGCUGCGAGAUGCUGCGCUGCUGCUGGGACAGAGCAGAAGUCCAUUGCCCCGGGGAUGCUGCGCUGCAGCACCAAAAGCAGCGGCCACCGCACACUGCUGGGAUGCGGCUCAGCCCCAACAGCUGCAAGGACAGGGAGCAGCGCUGCAGCUCAGCGAAGCUGUGCUUUGUCUAUGCAUAGAAAUCAGAGCUAAGAGGUUUGGGGUUCUUUGUGGCUUUUUUCUGUUGUUGUUACCUGAAAUCCAUCAGGACCUCAGCUCCCUGUUAUACUUUUCUACUCCAUCCUGUGAUGUUAAUACAUACGCAGGGAUUCACUUGCACUUCAAAAGGACAUCUUCCCAUGGUGUAAGAGCCGCAGGAUGUUUCUCGAGGUGUUGCAGAGAUGGCUUUCACUUAGGAAAAAAAAACUAGAGGCUGCAUUCUGUAAGGCACUGCGGAGGCACGCGAGCACUUCCUCAGCUCACCUUCAAAAUACUUGCUUUUUUUAAUCACUUUCUGGCUCUCACACUCACUCUGCUAACGACUACGGAUCUCCAGCACUUUGAAACAAAGCUUUUCACCUUUCGGUACCUUCUCAGUCUGUGUGCCAACAGGCUCCUCGCUGGCAUUCAGCUCAGUCUCACACCCCAACAAAGAAAUAUUUGGAAACACGUUCGUUUUCACAUCCGAGCUCCCCAAAUGCCCAACAACUGACUCUUAUCCUUUCUCUUUUUUUUUGGCUUCUCCUUUCCUACUUCCUUUCCCCCCCAUAUGCAGCCGCCCACAUGGUUUCACUCACUGAAACAGCCCAUGGUGAAAUCAGACAAACACUUUGACUUUGCCCCCGGCCCCAGUGGUAGCCGUACCUCUGAAGCUGCCAUUCACCUCUAAUUACACGUCUGCUGAAAUCGUGCAGAGAAGGAACAGUGUAAGUCAUUAGUCCUCCUAAAUGAAUGUGCAGCUGAGUAGCUAACAAAGGGAUUAACACUUGACAGCAGAAGCGUUGCAAGCUGAAGGGGAGGGUCAUCGGGUGACUGCUUAUUACACAGAAAUAAUUGCCAUCCAAUGCUGAGAGAAACCGAUGGCUGCAGGCUGUGUUUACUGCAAAGAAAUGCAUUUUUUUCCCCUGUCUUUUCUUAUCCCUUCUGCUUAAUCUUCCUUUGCACAAAGCAGAGAGGAGACCCAUUGCUGGGCAGUGCAGGGCUGGAUUCCAUCCCACGCAGGAUGCCCAGGUGGGCAAGGUUUGGGUCUGGCUUUUUUUUCUUUUUUUCUUCUUCCUUCAAAGGACACAAGGUGGAAAAAAAACCCUUUUUAGUAUUUUUAGGAAAGAAAGCUACAAUUUCAGAGCAAGUUGGCUGAACUGUAAAACUUACCUGGGCUACAUAUAGAUGUACUUAGACACUCCCAGCCCAAUUGAAAGGCAGUGCAUUUUAGUACAAGCGUUUUACGCUACCAAAUGAUAGCUGAGAUGUAAAUACCACAGAGAUGCAUGAAAAGCACAGCAGCACUGGGGUGGUAUGGUACAAUGUGAAAAGGAUGUUUACAUCCAAACAUGACACGCACAGUUGAGCAUGAAUUCACAUUAGCUCAGCUUGCGCUUCAAACAUCUAUUUAUUAACACUGGGUGGAAACAACUAUUUUUCAGUAGCAGAGUUCAAGUAUCACAAAGGGUUUUUAAUGACUUCUAUAAAGCUUAGCACAGCUAUUAUUCCAAAGGCUUACCAUCUGAGCAGAGGUGAUGCUUAGGCUUUUCUAUGAUUUACCUCUUCUCCGGCAUUCUUUCUUUCUGGGUCUUCAGUGACAUGUCAGUUUUCCCUUGACGUGCCCUGCAGAGAGUUGCAAUGAGUGAAGCUGAAAACACAAACCACGUUUUUCCUCCUGACGUGUCACUAUUUCACUACUGUGCUGCAGCCCAAUGAGCCCAUGCACGACUGCAGCAUCCUGGGCGCACACAGCCAUGCACCGAGAGCUCCUUCCACCCAGCACAGUGGGACUCAUGCAUGCCACAGCUGCUCAUGAGCAGAGGCUGGAAGGAAGGCCACAGAAGAUGUGAAUAUGGGAAUAAAAGGAAAUUUAUGCAUGAGCCGAUGCGCAUCCCGCGGAGCAUUUUCCAUUCGUUGUGGGGUACUGCUUCCUCUUGUCUGAUUAAGUGACAUCUGGUUAGUGUAUCUGCCUGACUAUUUAGUUCUCUGCAUCACUCCGAGCACUGUAAUCUCUCUAAUUGGUGUAAAGAAUUUUUUCCCAAUAAGGCUAGAACGAAGCAGCUUCUCUGUCUAUGCUCCUUCAUGGUUGAUUUUGCUAUCAGCUUCAGAAAUCAUGCAGAAGGAGUUUGACUUUUUCCAUUCAUUCAGGAAUUACUACGUUUGCAGCCAUAGAAACAGUACUUAGGUCUAAAUACAAAGGAAAUAUAAUGCCCCGAUUAAUUUUCUGCAUCACUGAAAUGGAGCUUCUGUCAAAUGGGGGAGGCAGACGUUGCUGAUGCUGAGGAGCCAUCCCAGAACCAAGCCUGCAGCACUGCUUGGGAACAAAAGGUAAGAAGAGAUGGUCAAUGAGAUGAAAAUGCUGAUUGUAAGAUGUUUUUGGAUGAGAUAAGCAAACUGCCUUGUAAUCUCAAAUUCUCAAGUUUUCUUGCUGUGUUUUCACACUACCCUGAGCCUGUUGUUAUGUCUGAAAACAGCCCUUGGUCUAUUUUUAUGCUUCAGGCAACAUUAGUUCAGAUGAAAACACUCUUCCUUGCUCUGAUUUGUUAAAGCCUUAAGGUUUAUUUCCUGAUGAUGAGAAAGCAAUCCCAGCCUUCUCAAAAGCGCACAUUUUCUGUAACACAAACACUCCUGAGCUAUUUGGCCCAACGUGGUGUUUAGAUGUGAGCUGGCAGUCGGCCGCCCAGAGGUGCCCACAUCCUUCUGAGCUGCACCAACACAUCCAUCCCAUGGCUGGAAGAGUGCUGGGUCAGGAAUGUGCUCCCAGCAGACAGCCUUGGAAAGAGCAAUAAGGCAAACCUGCCAGAGAUAAAUAGCUGAUUUGUCUAUAAGCAGCUGUCUUAAAGCAAGGAUACUACCGAUAAUAUUGAUAUUUCUCAACAGCUUGUAGCUGCAGAGUUAGAAUUGCUUGUACUCUGACUGCUUGAAAUUCCUCUGGUGGUUUUUAUCGCAGGAUGUCUAAAUAGUUUAGCAAGAUUCAUUAACACUACGACAGCCCCAGUGCUGACUGAGAGCUUCCAACGGCCACCUGACAGAGCAGCCAUCCCGAAACGUGUCGAGUCAGUGAGAAAAGGACAGGAAGGGUUGAGGCAUCCCUAAUUCCGGGAGGGCAGCAGGCAUUAGAAAUAAGGAAAACAUUUUUCAUUUUGAUAAGGAAUAAGUAGAUAACAAGGUGAAUGUGGAGAGCUUCAAAGUGAGGUGGUCCUUGUUGUCUGAACACGCAAAAAGCUUGCAGAGGUACUUCUGAAAUACUGUCCCGGUCACCAAAGGGGGAAGGAAAGUGCCUGGGUCCACAUGAAGCAAAGGUUUAAAUUAGAGACUGGAAAAGCUUCCUAAUGAAGGAUACUUAAUCAGAGAACCUGGCUGCUAAGGAAGCUGUAAAAUAUAAGUUCUAAAGGACCAAUUAGACUAACACCUGUCUGAAAGGAGCACAGCAGGAUUCUGCCUCCUUGCAGCGAAAAUGGACUUGAAGCCACUGUCAUACUGCUGCACUAUUGCUUAUCCCCCCAGGCCCCACUCACAUUCCAAAGUCUCAUUUUUGCUAUGAACAUAUAUCCCCACACUGUAAGCAGGUCCCCCAAGCUCAGCUGCUUCCAGCCUGUCUUGCUUGGAUAGCAGUAGCCUGUCUGGAAAAAUAAUAAUCAUACAUCUACAUCUUGUCAGAUCCAAGUCUUCUUAUAACCAAGGAACGAGGAUUAAAAGUUAGCUUCAUUCUUCUGAGUAGAGCAUCCUUCCCUAGGGAAAAAGGUGCGUUCUGACUUGUGAGCUGGUACUGCAUCUGAGCUCACUCAGGGAAGUCUCUCUCCUAUAAUCCUCAUAUUUCAGAGGGGUUUGAGGAUGAAGAUCCUUGAGGAGAGGGAGGGGUUAUUGCCCUGCAGCUCUCAGUGAUGUACGGAGGUACCUUGGGAGUGGUUUCCUGGUGCGCUGCAUGAGCAAUGUGGACGUGCAGUUCACAGUUCUGGGUUCCCAUCCAAAAGCCAGGAUUCUUCAUGCCACACUCAGCGCUGCUUCCCAGGCCUCCAAAUCCUUGACUGCAUUCUUAGUCAGGAGUUACAAGAACGAUAACCAGCACUGUAAGUCAGCAGUACCCCCUUCAAUAAGAUAAAGCAGCUGUGUUGGCUCUGGAGUAGCUUAACUUUAGACUUCUGAGUAUGAUGAAUUAUUGUUUAAGGAGAUGCAUUCAUAAUUCUGUUCCUCCCAAGCAGGUGGUUGAUAUUUUGAGAUCCCUGCUGUAUCAGCACUGUGUAUAUUUGGCAUAGAAACUGCAUGAAUAUUACAAAUUCUAUAUUUAAUUGAGUCUCAUAAUGAAACCCUGUAAAUCAUAGUCAGCCCAUCAAACUAAACAGGAAAUUGAUGUGUUGAGGUGUUAAAUAAUGUUAUUUCUUUCCACCCCUACAGGUUAGACAAAACUUGAUCGUUU